rnacentral:rRNA from 1 species
CAGUCGCCGCGGUAAUACGUAGGUGGCAAGCGUUGUCCGGAAUUAUUGGGCGUAAAGGGCUCGCAGGCGGUUUCUUAAGUCUGAUGUGAAAGCCCCCGGCUCAACCGGGGAGGGUCAUUGGAAACUGGGAAACUUGAGUGCAGAAGAGGAGAGUGGAAUUCCACGUGUAGCGGUGAAAUGCGUAGAGAUGUGGAGGAACACCAGUGGCGAAGGCGACUCUCUGGUCUGUAACUGACGCUGAGGAGCGAAAGCGUGGGGAGCGAACAGGAUUAGAUACCCCAGUAGUCCCUGUCUCUUUACA